GCCUUCGUGGUGUAAUGGUAGCACACUCGACGGGUAUUCGAGAGGUCCAGGUUCGAGUCCCGGUAGGGCA
rnacentral:tRNA from 1 species